rnacentral:rRNA from 1 species
AUUGAACGCUGGCGGCAUGCCUUACACAUGCAAGUCGAACGGUAACAGGUCUUCGGAUGCUGACGAGUGGCGAACGGGUGAGUAAUACAUCGGAACGUGCCCGAUCGUGGGGGAUAACGGAGCGAAAGCUUUGCUAAUACCGCAUACGAUCUACGGAUGAAAGCAGGGGACCGCAAGGCCUUGCGCGAACGGAGCGGCCGAUGGCAGAUUAGGUAGUUGGUGGGAUAAAAGCUUACCAAGCCGACGAUCUGUAGCUGUUCUGAGAGGACGACCGGCCACACGGGGACUGGGACACGGCCCAGACUCCUACGGGAGGCAGCAGUGGGGAAUUUUGGACAAUGGGCGCAAGCCUGAUCCAGCAAUGCCGCGUGCAGGAUGAAGGCCUUCGGGUUGUAAACUGCUUUUGUACGGAACGAAAAGGCUCUGGUUAAUACCUGGGGCUCAUGACGGUACCGUAAGAAUAAGCACCGGCUAACUACGUGCCAGCCGCCGCAGUAACAC